rnacentral:rRNA from 1 species
GACGAACGCUGGCGGCGUGCUCAACACAUGCAAGUCGAACGGAAAGGCCCUGCUUGCCGGGUACUCGAGUGGCGAACGGGUGAGUAACACGUGGGUGAUCUGCCCUGCACUUCGGGAUAAGCCUGGGAAACUGGGUCUAAUACCGGAUAGGAGCCAUUUUUAGUGUGAUGGUUGGAAAGUUUUUUCGGUGUAGGAUGAGCUCGCGGCCUAUCAGCUUGUUGGUGGGGUAAUGGCCUACCAAGGCGGCGACGGGUAGCCGGCCUGAGAGGGUGGACGGCCACAUUGGGACUGAGAUACGGCCCAGACUCCUACGGGAGGCAGCAGUGGGGAAUAUUGCACAAUGGGCGCAAGCCUGAUGCAGCGACGCCGCGUGGGGGAUGACGGCCUUCGGGUUGUAAACUCCUUUCGCUAGGGACGAAGCUUUUUGUGACGGUACCUAGAUAAGAAGCACCGGCUAACUACGUG